GAUGCCCUGGCUCAAUGGUAGAGCGUUCGACUCAAAUAUCAAAGGUCGCGGGUUCGAAUCCCAGGUGUUUCG
rnacentral:tRNA from 1 species